UUUUAAUUUUAGUGUCUACCUCAUGUACUACACCUGUAUCUACCUCAUGUGCUACACCUGCUAAGUUAAACAACUCAUUUAAUGCGCACAAAUUUCUCAUUGAUUGCAAUAUUAAUUUUCUAAUAUAUUUUUUACCUUAAGUUCUUUCUAUGUGUGCUACAUCUUGUAAGUUUAAACUUACAUCCAAAAUGGACAAAAAACAAAAAAUAAUGCUAGAGCGUAAGCUGUCUGUAUUAAUUCUCGGUGAAAUGAUGAAUAAAUAUAAACACUUAUCUGCAAAGCAACUCAAAGAUUUAGAUGAUGUUAUGUCAGGAAGAAUUGUUGGCAGAAAACUCGAUCAUGGUAUGAUGCUGACUUUUCUAAAUCUAUCAUUUAUGAUGGUAGAGCUGAAAAGGUAAACAAUAGACUGCAAGACAGAAUUUUCAUUAUUUCUUAUGGAAACAAGAUGAAACUGAUAUUGAAGCUGUGGAACAUAUGAUG